rnacentral:misc_RNA from 1 species
CUUAUCGUAGUCACAUCUCUCUAUAUCUAUUCCCUUCUCUCUAACCAUUUCUAUCCGGAGGAUGAGAGUUUCAUUUCAAAUCUCUUUAAUGGUUUUGCGCUCUUCAUUAUCCAAUCUCUGAACACUCUUUCACUUCCAGCUUUCUAUAGUCUCGUUUAUUUUAUUAUCUUUUUUACUUUACUUUAUCCUAGCUAGCUAUUAUUUCUAAGCAUAUACAGUUAGUGCAACUCUUGCUGGUGCUAGCUUCCUUAUUCAAUACUGCAUUAAAGUCCCUUCUUCAAUCCUUAAAGAUAUUGCAUCAGUUCUGCUAUUUGGCCUUUAGCUCAUCGAAUCCAACGAAGCUAGAAAAUGGCACCAAGGAACAAUCGUGGCAAGGCAAAAGGAGAGAAGAAGAAGAAAGACGAGAAGGUUCUUCCAGUUGUUACUGAUAUCACAGUGAACCUCCCUGAUGAAACUCGUACUGUUUUGAAGGGGAUAUCCACAGACAGGAUUAUGGAUGUUCGUCGGCUUUUAUCAGUGAACACAGAAACUUGCUACAUCACAAAUUUUUCAUUAUCCCACGAGGUAAGGGGGCCAUGGUUAAAAGACACGGUCGACGUUUCAGCGCUCAAGCCUUGUGUGCUCACGUUAACUGAAGAGGACUACGAUGAGAAACUUGCUGUGGCGCACGUUAGACGGCUCCUGGACAUUGUGGCCUGCACAACGUGGUUUGGUCCGUCGGCGAGCACGCAGGAUAAUGCUAAGUCUGAUUCUGGAAAGAAUGCGCCGGGUGCGCUGGACAAGACCGGCAAGAAAGUCACAACCAAAUCUCAAGCCACUACAGCCAAACAAUCGUCAUCGUCAUCGUCGAAAGAGGUGCUGAUGGAGGCAGAAGGAGAGAUGAGCCACUCAUGCCCUAAACUUGGGAGCUUUUACGAGUUCUUCUCACUCUCCAAUCUCACUCCUCCUUUUCAAUUUAUAAGGAAGGCAACAAAACGGCAGAUUGAGGACAUUUCAGAAAAUGAUCAUCUCUUUUCCCUCGAUGUGAAGCUUUGCAACGGGAAGCUGGUUCAGGUUGAAGCUUGUAGAAAGGGAUUCUACAAUGUUGGGAAGCAGAGGAUUCUGUGUCACAAUCUUGUUGAUUUGCUGCGCCAGCUUAGUAGAACCUUUGACAAUGCUUAUGAUGAUCUCAUGAAAGCAUUCUCAGAACGUAACAAGUUUGGGAAUCUUCCUUGUGGCUUUAGAGCCAACACAUGGCUUAUCCCUCCAUUUGCUGCACAGUCACCUUCAGUUUUCCCUCCUCUUCCUGUUGAAGAUGAAAUGUGGGGAGGAAAUGGAGGUGGGCUUGGAAGAGAGGGGAAAAAUGAUUUGAUGCCUUGGGCUAGUGAGUUUUUGUUUCUUGCAUCUAUGCCCUGCAAGACAGCAGAGGAGAGGCAGGUUCGAGACCGGAAAGCGUUCCUUCUUCACAGUUUUUUUGUUGAUGUUGCCAUUUUCAGAGCAAUUAAGGCUUUGCAACAUGUCAGAGUUAAUCCAGACUUAUUGUGUUCGGUUGGGAGCUGUGAUAUCCUUUAUACAGAAAGACUAGGAGACUUGAGCAUCACAAUCACCAAAGACGCUUCCAACGCGAGCUCUAAGGUUGACACUAAAAUUGAUGGAAUUCAAGCAACUGGAGUGGGUAAAAAGGAUAUAUUACAACGGAACCUACUGAAAGGAAUUACUGCUGAUGAGAAUACUGCUGCACAUGAUAUUGCCACUCUUGGUAUUGUUAAUGUAAGAUACUGUGGUUAUGUUGCUGUUGUGAAAGUUGAGAGGAGAGAGGAAAAAAAUGACAGCCCUCAAUCUCAAGGCAUUGAACUCGAACAGCCUGAAGGCGGUGCCAAUGCCUUGAACAUUAACAGUUUGAGGCUACUUCUACGUAGGACAUCAUCUUCAGAAUGCAGUAAACCAGCAGCUCACUUGCAAACUUCGGAAUGUGAAGAGCUUUGUGUGUCCCAAGCUUUUGUAGAGCAAAUGCUGGAAGAAAGUCUUGCUAGGCUUGAGCAAGAGGAAUUGGAGCAGGAUCAUUUUGUGAGGUGGGAACUUGGAGCCUGCUGGAUUCAACAUUUGAAGGACCAGAAGAAUACAGAAAAAGAUAAGAAACUGCCCAAUGGGAAGAGCAAGAAACUCUCCUUGGAAAAAGAAAUGAAGGUUGAGGGACUUGGCACACCUCUUAGGUCCCUUAAGAGCAACAAGAAAAAAGUAGAUGAAAGCAACAUGAAAAUGCAGUCCAAACACUCAAGAUCGUCUAUUGAUGGGGUAAUUGGGGAAGUUGAAGAUGCUACUUCAGCUUCUAUGGAAUCUCAACAUGAAACCACAUCCAAAAAGAAUGAGCUUGCACUGCAGAGGUUGUUGUCUGACACAGCGUUUACUCGACUAAAAGAAUCAGAUACUGGACUUCAUUGCAAGUCUUUGCAAGAGCUAAUUGACAUGUCUCAGAAAUAUUAUAUUGAAGUUGCUCUUCCAAAAUUGGUGGCAGAUUUUGGCUCGCUGGAACUGUCACCAGUGGAUGGCCGGACUCUAACUGAUUUUAUGCAUACUAGAGGUCUUCGGAUGCGUUCCCUGGGACAUGUUGUAAAGCUUUCUGAGAAGCUGUCACAUGUACAGUCACUCUGCAUUCAUGAGAUGAUUGUACGAGCUUAUAAGCAAAUUCUUCAGGCUGUGAUUGCAUCUGUUGCAGACCAUGAAAAAAUGGCUGUAUCAAUAGCUGCUGCAUUAAAUCUGAUGCUUGGGGUUCUUGAAGGUAGAGAUUCAGAUAAGUCAUGCCAUGUCCAUCCUCUUGUAUGGAGAUGGCUGGAGGUGUUUCUAAAGAAGCGAUAUGAAUGGGAUCUUAGCAGCUCAAGCCUCAAAGAUGUGAGAAAAAUUGCAAUUCUUCGUGGAUUAUGCCACAAGGUGGGUAUCGAAUUGGUUCCAAGGGAUUUUGAUAUGGAUUCUCUACAUCCAUUUCAAAAAUCAGAUAUUGUCAGCUUGGUCCCAGUGCAUAAGGUGAUGAAAGUACAUGUUUUUCUUUAUCUUUUCUGGUAACUGCUUGAAUUUUCCCAUAUUUAAUAAUGAGUUACAUUUUCUAAUUUUUUACAGCAAGCAGCAUGCUCCUCCGCAGAUGGAAGACAACUCCUGGAAUCAUCAAAAACAGCCUUAGACAAGGGAAAACUUGAAGAUGCAGUUACCUAUGGGUCAAAGGCUCUAGCAAAGCUGGUGGCAGUUUGUGGUCCAUACCAUCGAAUGACUGCAGGAGCUUACAGCCUUCUUGCUGUUGUAUUGUAUCAUACUGGAGACUUCAAUCAGGCUACUAUAUAUCAGCAAAAAGCCUUGGAUAUCAAUGAGAGGGAACUAGGAUUGGAUCAUCCUGAUACAAUGAAAAGU